UCCAAUGGGGGACUCUCCAAAUCCAUCGAUGUGGCCAAGAUUAAGAAGUAUAGAUUGAAGCUACUGGGCAGAUUAUUGCUUUCAUCACAUAAUGCACAUCGGCAUCGAUUUAUGGCAGUUUGAGUUACACUUUUCAAUAGGAUGUGACGAGGAUUUUUAAAGAUGAUUGUACAUUAUACAGGAAAAACCAACUCCUGACAUUGUAUUGCAAAUAUUAUGGCUUAUAUAUUUAAUGAAGGUUCUGAUGAAGUCGCAUUUUCCCU